CCUCCGGGUCCGCCCGCGCCCGGGAGCCGGCGGCCAGGGGACCCGCUGCCAAGGAGGGGGCGGCGGCGGGGCCGGGAACGUGCGGCCAGGCCUAGCUGAGGAGCCAGCAGGCCCCCACAGGCCCUGGUACAGUGCCUCCAGGGACUUAAACCUGCCUCAGCUACGUGAUUACCCUGAUCUAUCUGCUGGGAGAUGAGCAAAGCUCGGAGAGGGACCAGAUCUCAGCAGAGACCAAACCAGCAGCAGUUCCUGAACACCCACCCCCCAGUGCUUCCAGAAGUGCAACAUGGACCAACCUGUGAGCAUUUGCUCCUCCUCAGAUGGGUAGCUUGAAGCCCAGAUUGAGACUCCUGUUUCUCCUCUCUGUUCACUCAUCCCUACUUCCUUUGGUAGUUUCCCUUCUCCAUAUAGCCAAAUUUUAAAGCCUAGAAGCCCUACUCCACUGAGCCAGCCUCUGACUUGCUCUUGAAUGAGGUUAUUGCUCUCCUACCCGGUGCCAGGUAUGCAAGAUCAAGGUGGGGAGGCUUAGUUUCUGCUCUUCCAUCUGGACCAUUCUAUUGACUCAAACGCAAGCAGAUAUAGAAAGAGAAUCAACUUGGGAAUUAGGCCUGCAAUAAAAUUUGGCUUCACCACUAAAGA